rnacentral:rRNA from 1 species
GGGGCAAAAUCAAGCUGCACUGCAGAACGACCCGUGAACGUGUUUUCACCGCACGGGGGAGUGGGGGUGCAUGCGCCCCCAGUCUCCCGACUCCGGCGGGAGGGGUGCAAUCAGAAUUGCCUCAUCUCUGCCGUCGGCUAAACAACCAACCCCGGCGCAGGACGCGCCAAGGAACAUGAACUGAAAAGAGCACGCUGCCGGAGGCCCCGAAAACGGUGCUGCCCGAGGCAAGCGUCGCCUUCUUUCGAGAACCAAAACGACUCUCGGCAACGGAUAUCUCGGCUCUCGCAUCGAUGAAGAACGCAGCAAAAUGCGAUACUUGGUGUGAAUUGCAGAAUCCCGUGAAUCAUCGAGUUUUUGAACGCAAGUUGCGCCUGAAGCCUUCUGGCCGAGGGCACGUCUGCCUGGGUGUCACGCAACCGUCGCCCCCAUCCCUUCGUCUCACCGGGGGGAUCUGGGGGCGGAAUAUGGCCUCCCGUGGGCAACGAGCUCGCGGAUGGCCUAAAAAUCAGAGUCCACGGCGACUGGCGCCAUGUCAAUCGGUGGUUGUAAAACUCUCUGACACUGCCGUGCGCUCCCGUCCGCCACGAGGGACCCUCGAGACCCCGACGCAUUCCUUAGGGCAAUGCUCCGACUGCGACCCCAGGUCAGGCGGGACUACCCGCUGAGUUUAAGCAUAUCAUAACCCCGGAAGAAAAAAGAUCAUUGUCGAAACCUGCACUGCAGAAC